rnacentral:rRNA from 1 species
ACGUCUACAUUAGAUACCCGGGUAGUCCCAGCCGUAAACAAUGUGCGUUAGGUGUGUCGGUAACCACGUGUUACUGAUGCGCCGAAGAGAAAUCGUGAAACGCACCACCUGGGAAGUACGGUCGCAAGGCUGAAACUUAAAGGAAUUGGCGGGGAGCACCACAACAGGUGGAGCCUGCGGUUUAAUUGGAUUCAACGCCGGACAUCUCACCGGAUAAGACAGCUGAAUGAUUGUCAAUCUGAAGGUUUUACAUGACUAGCUG